AUGAACUAUUACCGUAUGAUAGUUUUCCGCACUUUGGUUAAGAACUGUGCUCUCUUUGACAUCAGUUACACUGGUCCUGCUUAUACUUGGCACAAUAGACAACAUACUCUUAAUCCUAUUUGUCAAUGUUUGGACCGUUGCCUUAUUAAUUCUGGUUGGUGCGUUGUCUACCCUAACACGAAAGUGCUCAAUUUGCCCAUUAUUUUGAGUGAUCGUGCUCCUAUUCUAAUCUCUACUGAUGGGCAGUUUCCUCGGCCGAAACAACCGUUUAAGUUUGGGAAUUGGUGGCUAAUGGAGAGUGAUUUUCAGGAUCAUGCCAAAGCAGCUUGGAAUAUCAACAAAAAUGCACCGUUUUUCUAUUAG
rnacentral:rRNA from 1 species